GUGCUUGCUUCAGUGGAACAUAUACUAAAAUUGGAACAAUAGAGAGAAGAUUAGCAUGGCCCCUGCGCAAGGAAGACACGUAAAUUCGUUAAGUGACCCACAUUUUU
ensembl:snRNA U6 U6 spliceosomal RNA